GAUGAACGCUAGCGAUAGGCCUAACACAUGCAAGUCGAGGGGCAUCACGGAGUAGCAAUACUUUGGUGGCGACCGGCGCACGGGUGAGUAACGCGUAUGCAAUCUACCUACAACAGGGGGAUAACCCGGAGAAAUCCGGACUAAUACCGCAUAACACAGGGGUCCCGCAUGGGAAUAUUUGUUAAAGAUUUAUCGGUUGUAGAUGAGCAUGCGUUCCAUUAGGUAGUUGGUGAGGUAACGGCCCACCAAGCCUGCGAUGGAUAGGGGAACUGAGAGGUUUGUCCCCCACACUGGAACUGAGACACGGAACAGACUCCUACGGGAGGCAGCAGUGAGGAAUAUUGGUCAAUGGGCGAGAGCCUGAACCAGCCAAAUCGCGUGAAGGAAGACUGCCUUAUGGGUUGUAAACUUCUUUUGUACAGGAAUAAAAAGAGGGACGUGUCCUUCAUUGCAUGUACUGUACGAAUAAGCAUCGGCUAACUCCGUGCCAGCCGCCGCUGUAA
rnacentral:rRNA from 1 species